AUUAUUUUUGGUUCAUAAGCUUGAUGAUUGCGUAUUUACGCCAUUGUGUGAGAUGCACCUCUCUCAAAUCUUACAAUAUCAGCACAUUACUCAUCUGAUA